GAGCAUGAGUUCUCAAGGCACUUAAACGCCCAUGGAGGAAAGCGAAGCCAAGAGCAAGAAAACAGGAGCCUCGCUCAAAAGACCCAAAACUUUCAACAGUUUAUCAGAGACCACGGCGAUUCUUGGGUUAUAUCUCACGCCCUUUCUACCCAACAAGGGGAACCAGUUUUUUUUUUCCCCCUCAGAACAGAGGAUAUAGAUGUUUUGGAUUUCUAUGUCCUGUCUGAGCACAAAACGCAUCAGCCUUAGCAUUCUCCCAUCUCACUGCUCCAUAUCAGAUUCUUUUUUACACGGUAAAGACAGAGGUGACUCACGUUCCAGUUGUAACAGUGUCGACGGGAAGUGCAGAUUAGACAACAAGGAAGAAAAAUUUCAUCUUCCUUUCUUCAGUAAAAUGUUUUGGAGUGGAAACGUGAAGAAGUCAUCAUGACAGAAAUCGAUUCAUGAAGACAGAGUAAAAGAUUGCGACUUUUUUUUUUCAACAGAGUUGAUUGACGCACACAAGGCUUGUUUAAAUGCCACAAAGAACUUAGAAUGGUUCAGCAGCAGUUUAUAAGGAUAGCUUGUGGGAACAGUCUCAUUUACUGAAUACCUCUGAGAACUCUCCAAGUACCUCUGAGGGAGUCAUGAUACAUCUCCAAGUAUCUACCAAAAGCUGUCAUUUUGUUCAGCAACUGACUGUGUUACAUCUUCACGUGAUGCUUCAACUAGUCAUUGUCUCCUCCAAAGCCAACUUCAUUUGCAUUCAAACCCGACGCCAAGUUUGCAGGGGAGUAUUAACACAAGCCCAUGUAUUUAAGGUUUCAUGCAAAGAAAGUAGUAUAAAUCUCUCUCUUGUAAGAACUUUCAAUGUAACCUAGAGUUGCCUCUCUCUUUCAAUCUAUUAUGAUUAUCAGUCUUUAUCUUGGUGACAACUUCAUCUUCCUUCUUUCAUUUACUUUCUUCCAUAUGAAUAAAGAGCUCUAUGAGUUAUUUCA